AUGCCUAUAUCCUCUGAUGAACUGCUUGAGUUUAUAAGAGGAGAUAACACAGAGUGGGGUUUCAGUUGUCAUUUAUUCGUUGUCAGGAAUGCUAUUCCAAUUUCCCUGUGGCUUUUAUUAUCUUUUUAUACAGGUGAUGUCUCUGGUGAGGGAAUCACUCCAGUCUUCCUAUACAAAACAGUCUCAGAAGAGAAAACAUCCAGCCUGUCCUGCAUUUAUAAUGGCUCAGCAGCUACAGAUGCUCUCCACUGGUAUCGCCAGUACCCAAAAUCCAGACCAGACUUCCUGUUUCUAGUUAACGAAGCUGCAUUUAAACAACCUGCUAAUCCUCCCAUUCCUGGAAUAUCUGCUAGAUUAAAUGAGGAGAAAAAUUGUGUGUAUCUGGACAUCAUCAACACUGCUGUAUCAGACUCUGCUGUGUAUUACUGUGGAACGGACGGACGCACGCAACGCACGCAGUACAGCACAUUCGGUGAGCGAGAGCGACACACUUCAGAUCAACACACAUGA